CCUCGACUAUUGCCAUCUGGUAUAAUCGUAUGAAAUCAUAUGUAGGAGUUGGGAAGUUGAUUGCAGAUUUACUUUCAUUAUGAAUACAGAAACUGUUAUUUUAAAUACUGAGAUGGAACAUAAGGAAUUAAAUUGUGAGAAUAUAACUGGAUUGAACUGGCAUUAAAUGAGGUUUUGUGGUGCACUUUCGUGUUCUAGCAGUGCUGAACCUGCAGUCUGUUGCUGAUGCGGUCCGAAUUGGAGCACAGGAUGAGUGGACCAUCAAGGUGCAGAGACCUGGUUCUUUUAUGUGGUAUAUACAUCUUAUGGCCGGACCUGUAUAUAUGUAGUGGAUGGUUCAUCAGUUCAUUGGAAAAAGAAAAAUUAAGAUUCAGGUUCAAUAGGCUUAGAACUUGACCUUGUUUAAAAUGGAUCUCUCUCUGGAUGGGCUGUACCGGGCUGUGCUGAGAGGCCUGCAGGUUGGGCUUGGGUCUGCAUUAACGCUUGUCAUUGUGAAGACUGCAAUAACACUCCCCGGUCUGCAGAAAAUAAGUCCACUUGCUGUGUUCUUCACUGGCAUAUUGCUGGGAAUUGCAUUU